AUUGAACGCUGGCGGCAGGCUUAACACAUGCAAGUCGAGCGAGCGGCGGACGGGUGAGUAAUGUCUGGGAAACUGCCUGCUGGCGGGGGAUAACUACUGUACACGGUAGCUAAUACCGCAUACCAUCAGAUGUGCCCAGAUGGGAUUAGCUAGUAGGUGGGGUAAUGGUUCACCUAGGCGACGAUCCCUAGCUGGUCUGAGAGGAUGACCAGCCACGCUGGAACAGAGACGAGGUCCGGACUCCUACGGCAGGCAGCAGUGGGUAAUAUUGCACAAUGGGCGCAAGCCUGAUGCAUCCAUGCCGCGUGUGUGAAGAAGGCCUUCGAGGUGGAAAGCACUUUCAGCGAGGAGGCGUGACUCGCAGAAGAAGCACCGGCUAACUCCGUGCCAGCAGCCGCGGUAAUUC
rnacentral:rRNA from 1 species